AUUUUCUAUAUUGUGUUUUGUGUACUGCUGGUUUCAUAUAAAUAAGUUUUUUGUUCAUGUUAUAGGUGUGAUUGUGGAAACUGCCAUUCCAUGACAACAACAAAUUAAUGUGUAUGCUGUUCAGACAUAUCAGCUGUAAGCUAUUUAAAGCAAACAGAUGACUUUAACUGCAUCACAGAACAUGAAAUCUUUAUUGCCAACUGCUUAAACCGUCAUGUGUUGCAAAUCAGCAUGUAUGCAUACAUGGAGCAUGUUGGUCCAUUUGACGACAAUGAACCCAUCAAUGAGUAAGUUUUGAAAUAAGUCAUGAUAGUAGUAGGCUAGGUUCAUGUUCAUGUUGGACCAAUUUCAAAUCAAUUAUUGUUAUAUUGAAUCCAUGUUCAUGAUGUUUUCGAGACAAUACUAGUGACUUCAAUAUUUUUAAUUGUACAGAGUAAGUACAAUCAUUGACAAUUCAAUAAAGAAAAUAACAUGAUGAAUUAAAAUAAUAAUUUAAUAUCACAGAUAAUUUCAUAAUUCAAAUAUCAUAGAUACAAUUUGUGUAUACAUAAUAUAUUUCAAAGCAUAUUUAACACGUAGAAAGGCCCAAGUUAUUUCAUGUCAUUAUAGUAAUAUACAUAGGUAGCAAAUAUAUACAUGGCAGUACACCUUAGGUAAUAUUUAUAAAUCCUAAAUAUUUCUUUUUAACCUAAAUACAAUACAAAAUGACAGGUACAACAGAUUUAAAAUGUUUCGGUCUUUCGAAAAUAAAAAAAAAAGUCAAUAAGUAAUUUUUCAUUAUAACUUUCAUUGUAUGUUUGUAAAUAUAUUUACAUCAGUUAAAAGUAUGGUACUGAAAGUUGUAUAUGAAUAUAAUUAAUGUUUUGAUUUGUAGGAAAUAUAGGUUUAUGGCAUAUAGGAGAUUUGUUCAGUGGAUAUGGCAUCGCCUUGGACGUCACAACAGAAAGAUCUUGCCUGCAUGUGUUGUGAAAAAAAUUAGAGACAGUUUCCCAUCUGAAGAAUACUGUGGCUUCAAAUAUGCAGUUGUAUGAAUUAAGUUUGGACUGAUUACUUUUUGUAACUAUUAAUUUUGAAUGAAACACUCGUAUUAAUAAAAACAUUGACUUUUUGUCUUUGCAUAGUAGAUC
rnacentral:lncRNA from 1 species